CCUACGGGUGGCAGCAGUGAGGAAUAUUGGUCAAUGGCCGGAAGGCUGAACCAGCCAAGCCGCGUGAGGGACGAAGGUGCUAAGCAUCGUAAACUUCUUUUGUCAAGGGAUAAAAUCUGGGUCGAGACCUUGACUGAGGGUACCUUAAGAAAAAGCAUCGGCUAACUCCGUGCCAGCAGCCGCGGUAAUACGGAGGAUGCGAGCGUUAUCCGGAUUUAUUGGGUUUAAGGGGUGCGUAGGCGGCCCGUUAAGUCAGCGGUAAAAGCCGGGGGCUCAACCCCGGCGUGCCGUUGAAACUGGGUGGCUUGAGUAGGCGAGAGGUAUGCGGAAUGCGCGGUGUAGCGGUGAAAUGCUUAGAUAUUAGGAGGAACACCGGUGGCGAAGGCGGCUUGCUGGGCAGUGACUGACGUUGAGGCACGAAAGUGUGGGGAGCAAACAGGAUUAGAUACCCGAGUAGUC
rnacentral:rRNA from 1 species